rnacentral:rRNA from 1 species
GAUGAACGCUGGCGGCGUGCCUAAUACAUGCAAGUCGAGCGAACGGACGAGAAGCUUGCUUCUCUGAUGUUAGCGGCGGACGGGUGAGUAACACGUGGAUAACCUACCUAUAAGACUGGGAUAACUUCGGGAAACCGGAGCUAAUACCGGAUGAUAUUUUGAACCGCAUGGUUCAAAAGUGAAAGACGGUCUUGCUGUCACUUAUAGAUGGAUCCGCGCUGCAUUAGCUAGUUGGUAAGGUAACGGCUUACCAAGGCAACGAUGCAUAGCCGACCUGAGAGGGUGAUCGGCCACACUGGAACUGAGACACGGUCCAGACUCCUACGGGAGGCAGCAGUAGGGAAUCUUCCACAAUGGGCGAAAGCCUGACGAAGCAACGCCGCGUGAGUGAUGAAGGUCUUCGGAUCGUAAAACUCUGUUAUUAGGGAAGAACAUAUGUGUAAGUAACUGUGCACAUCUUGACGGUACCUAAUCAGAAAGCCACGGCUAACUACGUG